CGCUCGUCUGCUGCUUAUUUGAAAGGAUGAUACAAAGAUUGAAACAGAAGGUUCACAAAGCUAUUGUAAACAGAUAUAUUGAAAUGGGUUGCAUUGUCGAUUAACUGGAAGAAAUCGGGGAACGAAACAUACAUUUUAGAAAGUGUAGGCAGUGUAUUGUUUGAGUACUUGGACCAUCAUGACCAUGGGAAAGCGUAAUGGCCAAAUGUCAAAAUAUUAUGAAAGCUUGUUACCAAAAGAAUGGAAAGUACAGUAUUAAAACCACUGGUGAACAUGUACUAUACAUGUAGAUGUGAAUGUCCUGAAAAAAGAACAGAUAUCAAAUAUUAGCUCCUCAGAUGUCAGUGGAAGGGGAAGCUAUAUAUAUACAUUAUAUGUUUAAAUGAAAUUGGCGACAGGAUUAGAUAUAGAGGAGAUCCUAUAGCUACAGUAUAUGUAACUGCAACUGUAUUCCAAGAGUCUGAUGGCUGAUAAUGUAUUACAGGAUUUUAUCAUUCAAGCAACAUCUUAGAAGCCUAGGAUAAGUGCUAAUGUACGAAGGAAGCCUUGGAUACAAAUAGCAAUUACAGCAAUUCCAUACAGGAUAGAACUCUUACACGUGGUCAUGAUAUGGGAAUGAUGUAUUCAAGAAAUUUAAAACACAUGGAAUUAAAUAUUGUGUAUAUUUUUUCAACCACAAGUACUUUCUGAUUAUAAUACAAUUCAA